rnacentral:rRNA from 1 species
GUAAGGAAUAUUGGACAAUGGUCGGAAGACUGAUCCAGCCAUCCCGCGUGAAGGAUGACUGCCCUAUGGGUUGUAAACUUCUUUUAUAUGGGAAGAAACCCCUGGAUUUAUCUGGGGCUGACGGUACCAUAUGAAUAAGCACCGGCUAACUCCGUGCCAGCAGCCGCGGUAAUACGGAGGGUGCAAGCGUUAUCCGGAAUCACUGGGUUUAAAGGGUGCGUAGGUGGCUUGGUAAGUCAGAGGUGAAAGCCCGUCGCUCAACGACGGAAUUGCCUUUGAUACUGCCGAGCUUGAAUUAGGUUGAGGUAGGCGGAAUGUGGCAUGUAGCGGUGAAAUGCAUAGAUAUGCCAUAGAACACCAAUUGCGAAGGCAGCUUACUGGACCUGGAUUGACGCUGAGGCACGAAAGCGUGGGGAUCAAACAGGAUUAGAUACCCCGGUAGUCC